CUUGGUCAUUUAGAGGAAGUAAAAGUCGUAACAAGGUUUCCGUAGGUGAACCUGCGGAAGGAUCAUUACAAGUGAGGCUACCGAACGUUGGAAACAGCGGUUAGGAGCUUACACCCACCCGUGUUUACAUACUAUUGUUGCUUUGGCGGGCCGUGGCCUCCACUGCGGGCUCUGCUCGUGUGUGCCCGCCAGAGAACCAAACUCUGAAUGUUAGUGAUGUCUGAGUACUAUCUAAUAGUUAAAACUUUCAACAACGGAUCUCUUGGUUCUGGCAUCGAUGAAGAACGCAGCGAAAUGCGAUAAGUAAUGUGAACUGCAGAAUUCAGUGAAUCAUCGAAUCUUUGAACGCACAUUGCGCCCUGUGGUAUUCCGCAGGGCAUGCCUGUUCGAGCGUCAUUUAACCACUCACGCCUAGCGUGGUAUUGGGGCACGCGGUCUCCGCGGCCCUCAAAAUCAGUGGCGGCGCCGGUGGGCUCUAAGCGUAGUACAUACUCCCGCUAUAGAGUUCCCCCCGGUGGCUCGCCAGAACCCCCAAUUUUUUACAGGUUGACCUCGGAUCAGGUAGGGAUACCCGCUGAACUUAAGCAUAUCAAUAAGCGGAGGA
rnacentral:rRNA from 1 species